ACUAACAGAAUUCAGUGCUGAACCAUGGCAUCCUGGAAAUCAUCUGAGCAAAGGGCAAUGUUAAGACCACAAUGUCAAGACCAUUAUCUUAGAGAUUCUUCUUUUAAAAAUUAAAGCAUUAAGUGUUCUCUCUGUACUUCGUAUGGGAUUCUCCAACUGAACAUAGACUACUUUAACAGAAGCUAAGCCGAUGCCUGUGUGGAACACGUUUAAAUACUGGCUGCUAAGUGAGAGCCUGAAAUGCUGAGGACACCUGAAGCUAAGUGAGCACAGUGGACUGUCUCAGGAUGCACCCGAGACGGCUUUCUUCUCUCUUUGUUUGCCCUAUUUUGAGAAUGAUGAUUUGGACAGGCA
rnacentral:lncRNA from 1 species